rnacentral:rRNA from 1 species
UACAGAGGGGGCUAGCGUUGUUCGGAAUUACUGGGCGUAAAGCGUGCGCAGGCGGUUUUGUAAGUUUGUCGUGAAAUCCCCGGGCUCAACCUGGGAAUUGCGAUGAAGACUGCAAGGCUAGAAUCUGGCAGAGGGGGGUAGAAUUCCACGUGUAGCAGUGAAAUGCGUAGAGAUGUGGAGGAACACCGAUGGCGAAGGCAGCCCCCUGGGUCAAGAUUGACGCUCAUGCACGAAAGCGUGGGGAGCAAACAGG